rnacentral:rRNA from 1 species
GAUGAACGCUGGCGGCGUACCUAAUACAUGCAAGUCGAACGCUUUGUGGUUCAACUGAUUUGAAGAGCUUGCUCAGAUAUGACGAUGGACAUUGCAAAGAGUGGCGAACGGGUGAGUAACACGUGGGAAACCUACCUCUUAGCAGGGGAUAACAUUUGGAAACAGAUGCUAAUACCGUAUAACAAUGACAACCGCAUGGUUGUUAUUUAAAAGAUGGUUCUGCUAUCACUAAGAGAUGGUCCCGCGGUGCAUUAGCUAGUUGGUAAGGUAAUGGCUUACCAAGGCGAUGAUGCAUAGCCGAGUUGAGAGACUGAUCGGCCACAAUGGGACUGAGACACGGCCCAUACUCCUACGGGAGGCAGCAGUAGGGAAUCUUCCACAAUGGGCGAAAGCCUGACGGAGCAACGCCGCGUGUGUGAUGAAGGGUUUCGGCUCGUAAAACACUGUUGUAAAAGAAGAAUGACAUUGAGAGUAACUGUUCAAUGUGUGACGGUAUCUUACCAGAAAGGAACGGCUAAAUACGUGCCAGCAGCCGCGGUAAUACGUAUGUUCCAAGCGUUAUCCGGAUUUAUUGGGCGUAAAGCGAGCGCAGACGGUUAUUUAAGUCUGAAGUGAAAGCCCUCAGCUCAACUGAGGAAUUGCUUUGGAAACUGGAUGACUUGAGUGCAGUAGAGGAAAGUGGAACUCCAUGUGUAGCGGUGAAAUGCGUAGAUAUAUGGAAGAACACCAGUGGCGAAGGCGGCUUUCUGGACUGUAACUGACGUUGAGGCUCGAAAGUGUGGGUAGCAAACAGGAUUAGAUACCCUGGUAGUCCACACCGUAAACGAUGAGUGCUAGGUGUUUGAGGGUUUCCGCCCUUAAGUGCCGCAGCUAACGCAUUAAGCACUCCGCCUGGGGAGUACGACCGCAAGGUUGAAACUCAAAGGAAUUGACGGGGACCCGCACAAGCGGUGGAGCAUGUGGUUUAAUUCGAAGCAACGCGAAGAACCUUACCAGGUCUUGACAUCCCUUGACAACUCCAGAGAUGGAGUGUUCCCUUCGGGGACAAGGUGACAGGUGGUGCAUGGUUGUCGUCAGCUCGUGUCGUGAGAUGUUGGGUUAAGUCCCGCAACGAGCGCAACCCUUAUUACUAGUUGCCAGCAUUCAGUUGGGCACUCUAGUGAGACUGCCGGUGACAAACCGGAGGAAGGUGGGGAUGACGUCAAAUCAUCAUGCCCCUUAUGACCUGGGCUACACACGUGCUACAAUGGCGUAUACAACGAGUUGCCAACCCGCGAGGGUGAGCUAAUCUCUUAAAGUACGUCUCAGUUCGGAUUGUAGGCUGCAAACUCGCCUACAUGAAAGUCGGAAUCGCUAGUAAUCGCGGAUCAGCACGCCGCGGUGAAUACGUUCCCGGG